GGACGCAGGCGCGGCUCACACCGCUCCAGUCGUCGGCUCAGGAGCUGUGACGUCAGGUGCCGGCAAAGGUGGUCCACGACCGCAGGCCUUAGCUGCUCUCAAACAGAUUCAGCGUUGGCCGGUCGCUCUCCCGCGCCGCUUGCAGUGCGGGCCCAGGAAAGCACCGUCGGCCUCCCCACGCGUUACGUCGCCCUCAUUUCCGCAUCGCUGAUUUCCGGUUACCGCCAUCUUCCUCGCGCGGAAGCCGGCUUCUAGGUGGGAGAGCUCCGUAGUGAGUGCAGUGGGUAGUUCGGUCGGUGCCAUGCCGUCAUCGCCGCUGCGGGUGGCGGUGGUGUGCUCGAGUAACCAGAAUCGGAGCAUGGAAGCACACAACAUCCUCAGGUAGUGCAAGCUCCACCUGCCCUCCGCCCCUCCCUCCUUUUUUUCCCCCCACAGAUCCCGUUCAGACCCCGAACCUGGACUGACUGCCGCAGAAGGUCGGGCGUGGCCCGACCUUACACGCUCCGCAAAUCCUCAGAGGGAGUCUGUGCGCGCGACGCCCCCCUGUAGAGUAAGCAUCCCAGUAAACCCUAGAGAUAGCGUGCUAUGCGGGACCUGUCUUGCGUACUUUGUGUCUGACAGCUGGCGGCCCCUAGGUACUGGACGACGGGGCCGUAUAUAGGCCAAGGUCUUCCGUUCCUGACGUUUGUCUUUCCCGUAUGUGUCGUCAGGCCACAUUCACUGGAAAGCUCUCAACACAUCAUGUCAAGAUGGAACGAGUCUGGAAGUAACAACAGUGAUCUGAGUUGUUAACGUCAGAACUGUUUGUUGCUGUCUACGUUUGCAAGUCUCAUGCACAAAGCCACCACCCCUAUCACCCCCAUAACUCUAGUCAAUAAUUUCUGAAGCACACGAAUUCAUUUGGUUCAGUGAGACUGCCUCAUAUUUCUUCACGAAUUCGCCAGUGUCUAGGAGGGCAUUCCUCCUUGAUAGUAUUUUUAUCUUCAAAAUCUCUUGACAAACUGAGAAACUGAUAUAUUGCAUUACAGUUAAAAUGUGGUUUUAUAAAUGUCGACUUUGAAAGUACAGUAGAAAUGUCUUUUUCUCCCAGAGUUAACUAGGAACUUUUGAAAAUUUUAUAAAUCUUAUUUUUUGACAAUUUCGUUUUGUUUUUUUUUUUUCCCCCUCAAGACAGGGUCUCUGUAGUUCUGGCUCUCACUCUGUAACCCAGUCAGCCUCAAACUCAGAUUUGUCUACCUCUGCCUCCCAGCUGCUGCGAUUAAAGUUGUGCUGCUGGCUUUGAACUCACUCUUCACCUGCCUCUCUUGUGUUGUUAUUACUAAUAGGAGUUUGCCACCAUACCAAGCAUUCUCUCGUGUUUUCUUAGCAGUCCAAAGUGUUAGUUGCCUGUUAUCUCAGAUUCUAAAAUUUCAUUCUUCCUAGUAUUUAUUACAUA
rnacentral:lncRNA from 1 species